rnacentral:rRNA from 1 species
UACGAAGGGGGCUAGCGUUGCUCGGAAUGACUGGGCGUAAAGGGCUCGUAGGUGGCCAACUAAGUCAGACGUGAAAUCCCUCGGCUUAACCGGGGAACUGCGUCUGAUACUGGAUGGCUUGAGUUUGGGAGAGGGAUGCGGAAUUCCAGGUGUAGCGGUGAAAUGCGUAGAUAUCUGGAGGAACACCGGUGGCGAAGGCGGCAUCCUGGACCAACACUGACACUGAGGAGCGAAAGCCAGGGGAGCAAACGGG